rnacentral:rRNA from 1 species
AAGAAUAAGCACCGGCUAACUACGUGCCAGCAGCCGCGGUAAUACGUAGGGUGCGAGCGUUAAUCGGAAUUACUGGGCGUAAAGCGGGCGCAGACGGUUACUUAAGCAGGAUGUGAAAUCCCCGGGCUCAACCCGGGAACUGCGUUCUGAACUGGGUGACUAGAGUGUGUCAGAGGGAGGUAGAAUUCCACGUGUAGCAGUGAAAUGCGUAGAGAUGUGGAGGAAUACCGAUGGCGAAGGCAGCCUCCUGGGACAACACUGACGUUCAUGCCCGAAAGCGUGGGUAGCAAACAGGAUUAGAUACCCUGGUAGUCCACGCCCUAAACGAUGUCAAUUAGCUGUUGGGCAACUUGAUUGCUUAGUAGCGUAGCUAACGCGUGAAAUUGACCGCCUGGGGAGUACGGUCGCAAGAUUAAAACUCAAAGGAAUUGACGGGGACCCGCACAAGCGGUGGAUGAUGUGGAUUAAUUCGAUGCAACGCGAAGAACCUUACCUGGUCUUGACAUGUACGGAAUCCUCCAGAGACGGAGGAGUGCCUUCGGGAGCCGUAACACAGGUGCUGCAUGGCUGUCGUCAGCUCGUGUCGUGAGAUGUUGGGUUAAGUCCCGCAACGAGCGCAACCCUUGUCAUUAGUUGCCAUCAUUCAGUUGGGCACUCUAAUGAGACUGCCGGUGACAAGCCGGAGGAAGGUGGGGAUGACGUCAAGUCCUCAUGGCCCUUAUGACCAGGGCUUCACACGUCAUACAAUGGUCGGUACAGAGGGUAGCCAAGCCGCGAGGCGGAGCCAAUCUCACAAAACCGAUCGUAGUCCGGAUUGCACUCUGCAACUCGAGUGCAUGAAGUCGGAAUCGCUAGUAAUCGCAGGUCAGCAUACUGCGGUGAAUACGUUCCCGGGUCUUGUACACACCGCCCGUCACACCAUGGGAGUGGGGGAUACCAGAAGUAGGUAGGGUAACCGCAAGGAGUCCGCUUACCACGGUAUGCUUCAUGACUGGGGUGAAGUCGUAACAAGGUAGCCGUAGGGGAACCUGCGGCUGGAUCACCUCCUUU